CACGUAGGGCGCGAGCGUUGUCCGGAAUUAUUGGGCGUAAAGAGUCGUAGAGCGGCCUGUUGCGUCCGCUGUGAAAGCCCGGGGCUUAACCCCGGGUCGGCAGUGGAUACGGGCAGGCUAGAGGUAGGUAGGGGAGAAUGGAAUUCCCGGUGUAGCGGUGAAAUGCGCAGAUAUCGGGAGGAACACCGGUGGCGAAGGCGGUUCUCUGGGCCUUACCUGACGCUGAGGAGCGAAAGCGUGGGGAGCGAACAGG
rnacentral:rRNA from 1 species